GAACCGCCGAGGUGAGCGGACGGGUCCCUCGCUCUCUGUCGCUCCGUGUCGCUUUUCUCGAGCCCGCGCUGAGGAUAUUAUUAGAUGUUUUCAAUGUUUUGCGCUCUUGAUGCAACAAUCAAAAAAGUUGUUUGAGUGAAAAAGAAGAAAACGGAAAUAAAACCAGAAAAAGGAUAUAGAAACCCCCUUUCUAUCAAUCUUUAUUUCCAUAGAAUUCUUUUUUUGAAAAUCCAGUGAAACGAGAAUCAAAAAUAUAUAUUAGCACCCCCCAUCCCCCAUUUUCAAAAAAA